ensembl:miRNA
UUAACCAAACUUUGUGCAGUGCCCCAUUCAAAAAGGUGCCAUUCAGGUAUACUAAAAUAUGAUUGGCACUUUUUUGAGUGUGGUAAUUCACAACAUGUACAACCACA